CCCAGACUCCUACGGGAGGCAGCAGUGGGGGAUAUUGCACAAUGGGGGGAACCCUGAUGCAGCGACGCCGCGUGGGUGAAGGAGCGUUUCGGCGCGUAAAGCCCUAUCGGCAGGGAAGAAGGAGGACGGUACCUGACUAAGAAGCCCCGGCUAACUACGUGCCAGCAGCCGCGGUAAUACGUAGGGGGCAAGCGUUAUCCGGAUUUACUGGGUGUAAAGGGGGCGCAGACGGCAGCGCAAGCCAGGAGUGAAAGCCCGGGGCCCAACCCCGGGACUGCUCUUGGAACUGCGCGGCUGGAGUGCAGGAGGGGCAGGCGGAAUUCCUGGUGUAGCGGUGAAAUGCGUAGAUAUCAGGAGGAACACCGGCGGCGAAGGCGGCCUGCUGGACCGUGACUGACGUUGAGGCUCGAGAGCGUGGGGAGCAAACAGGAUUAGAUACCCUGGUAAUG
rnacentral:rRNA from 1 species